GCAACGGCCCAUUUCUGUUAGGCCAGCAGCUCGGGCUUGCGGCUCACAGCAGCUACACGGGACAGCUGGGCUGCCGUUCGGCAGGCAGGCCAAACAAAGGACAGCGGCCUGCAGGCUGCAGCAGCACACGGGCUGGCAUCAAGGGGCGACGCCAGCAGGGAGCUAGCUUGGCCCCACGCGGGGGGAAACUUCGGUCCACAGCAACAAGGCAAAGGGUGAACUCAUCACGUGUUGGCUUGUUUCACCUUGGCGAUUCGAAGAGAGGUGCAUCGGGUUGAAUUCAGGACAUAGACCUUGUUCUCUUGAGGAAUUUUUAAAGGCUCCCAUUCACCCCCCCUCUGGUCGCCUGUUCGGUCCUUCAGUAAAGUAUAAAGUACAAUGUAAGUUGUAUAAUUAACUUGAGUACAUUAAAAUUCGAGCUGCUAACUUCUUCCUAUCUCCCUGCCUUUAUCCUGUUUUGAGCUGAGUUUGAACUUGUUUGUCACACUACCUCUAUCCAUUAUUUAUCUUACUUCUAUUUAUGCAAUUGAAUAUUCCAUCGA